UCUAAUAAGAUGGUUUUUUAAAUCAAAGCUCUUUAACCUAUUUUAUUAAAUUUCCUCUCUCAUUAAUGCAGAAGUUCAGUAAUAAUUAGGACUGUGAUGGAUUAAUGAUUGAUAAUUUUUCAAGUUAAUAUUGGCAAGCUGUAGUCAGAGACAUGCAUUAUUGCUAUUCAUCCCUGCUCCUUGGCAUAUUGAACGUGAUGAACUGGACUAUAAGAGACUCUGAAGGCAGAAAGUCCAGCCAGGAGGCUAUUACAGGCUCCUAGAUGAGAGGUGGAGAGUGGUGCUGAAAAAUGGAUCACCAGAAGAAUUCUCAUUCCGAGUCCUUAACAAAAAAAAUAAGCACAGCAACUAGACCAUCUACAAGCUCAUCCUGCCCUUCACAGUAACAAUCAGCAUACUUCUAAAGGACUGAUGUAAUGGGGAUGAAGUUUCUGAACUACUUCUCUUUUUAGGGUAUUUCACAAUAAGGUAACCUUCUAAUUCUACAAAUGUUUUCUACAAGUUAACUGGGAAUAAAUAUUAAUCUUCACUUCCAUUAACAUAACAAGAAAUAAAACAUAACCCCAAACCAUCAA